GAGUUUGAUCCUGGCUCAGAAUGAACGCUGGCGGCAUGCCUAACACAUGCAAGUCGAACGAAGGCUUCGGCCUUAGUGGCGCACGGGUGCGUAACGCGUGGGAAUCUGCCCUCAGGUUCGGAAUAACAGCGAGAAAUUGCUGCUAAUACCGGAUGAUAUCGCGGGAUCAAAGAUUUAUCGCCUGAGGAUGAGCCCGCGUAGGAUUAGCUAGUUGGUGUGGUAAAGGCGCACCAAGGCGACGAUCCUUAGCUGGUCUGAGAGGAUGAUCAGCCACACUGGGACUGAGACACGGCCCAAACUCCUACGGGAGGCAGCAGUGGGGAAUAUUGGACAAUGGGCGAAAGCCUGAUCCAGCAAUGCCGCGUGAGUGAUGAAGGCCUUAGGGUUGUAAAGCUCUUUUACCCGGGAUGAUAAUGACAGUACCGGGAGAAUAAGCUCCGGCUAACUCCGUGCCAGCAGCCGCGGUAAUACGGAGGGAGCUAGCGUUAUUCGGAAUUACUGGGCGUAAAGCGCACGUAGGCGGCUUUGUAAGUUAGAGGUGAAAGCCUGGAGCUCAACUCCAGAAUUGCCUUUAAGACUGCAUCGUUGAAUCCAGGAGAGGUGG
rnacentral:rRNA from 1 species